AGCGCCACCCACUGGCCAUAGUAGAGUCCCAGUCGGUGGCUGUGGCAGCUCGCAGUUGUUUGCUGUGUGAAGUAGCAUUUUUGGGGCGCUCAUCGCCAUGAAACGUAUGUGAUGCGGACAGCCAAAGCCAAUUAGUGAAAUCAGCGACAGCUUGAUCCAAUAGCCGAUUUACUGAAAAUUGUUUAAGAAGCUCCACAUUGAGCACUUAUCGUCAACUCUAACGCUGGUGUGGGACAGCGGGAAGAAAUAUCCGGACAGAAGAUAUAUUGAAGCUGCAGUAAUAAGUCAAAGCGACCGCAAAAGCUGCAGUGGUCGAGAUCGAAGACAACGACUUGGAGUGUAAUAUAGGCGAAUGUGAUGAAUCUUUUCUCUUCAACAAUAACCAUAACCACAAACACACAUGAAAAAUAAAAAACAUACAA